rnacentral:rRNA from 1 species
AACGAACGCUGGCGGCAGGCCUAACACAUGCAAGUCGAGCGAGGACUUCGGUCCUAGCGGCGGACGGGUGAGUAACGCGUGGGAACGUGCCCUUUGCUUCGGAAUAGCCCUGGGAAACUGGGAGUAAUACCGGAUGAGCCCUUUGGGGGAAAGAUUUAUCGGCGAAGGAUCGGCCCGCGUUGGAUUAGGUAGUUGGUGGGGUAAUGGCCUACCAAGCCGACGAUCCAUAGCUGGUUUGAGAGGAUGAUCAGCCACACUGGGACUGAGACACGGCCCAGACUCCUACGGGAAGCAGCAGUGGGGAAUCUUAGACAAUGGGGGAAACCCUGAUCUAGCCAUGCCGCGUGAGCGAUGAAGGCCUUAGGGUUGUAAAGCUCUUUCAGCUGGGAAGAUAUUGACGGUACCAGCAGAAGAAGCCCCGGCUAACUCCGUG